CGGUUAAGUCCGCUAACGAGCGCAACCCUCGCUGUGUGUUACAAGUGUCACACGGUACUGCCGAUAUUAAGCCGGAGGAAGGUGGGGAUGACGUCAAGUCCUCAUGGCCUUUAUGCCCAGGGCUACACACGUGCUACAAUGGUCGGUACAAAGGGUUGCCAAGCCGCGAGGUGGAGCUAAUCCCAUAAAACCGAUCGUAGUCCGGAUCGCAGUCUGCACCUCGACUGCGUGAAGUCGGAAUCGCUAGUAAUCGUGAAUCAGAAUGUCCACGGUCGAAUACGUUCCCGGGCCUU
rnacentral:rRNA from 1 species